CUCCGCCUGCCCGCGCACCUUCUUCCGUUCCGACGGAUGCAAGCACACGGGAGAGCAGCCAUUUCCGUGCCCGUACUGUGAGAAGACGUUUGCGACCGCCGGUAUGAUGAAGGCGCACGCCCUGUGCCACCUGAGUGAGCAACCUCGCCCGUGUCCCCAGUGUGACAAGAGCUUCAGAACAGUGUAUGAUCCGAGUCAUCAGCUGGUGACACAAGGCCCUUCCUGUGUGUGAAGUGUCUCAAGGCCUUCAGGACAGCAAGGAUUCUGCAUAACCACAAGGUCCACCACAUGGAGGACCGUGACCACACCUUUGAGGACUGCAACAAGACACCCCAUCACCUGAAGCUCCACUCAGAGGACACGCCCUACGUCUAUCCCGACCGCGGCAAGGGAUUCCUCCAACCCGACCGCCUCACCCUCCAUCGCCGUACCCACGUUACAGAGCCCAAGUCCAGGAAGACGCGCCACAAGUGUUCCAUGUCUCCUUGGUGAACGCCCGCAGGCACACCUCACUGUUCACCUUAAUGUUGAGCACGGCGUCGAACCGUCCACCCCCCCCCGGGGUCAAGGUCAAAGUUUAACUGUCAUCUGGAUUGGAGGCAAAGACUAGGACAGGUCAAACCCAAACCGCCUUCGUUCAGGUGACCUGUGUCGGGUUAGUUUUACAGGUCUGAACCAACUGGAUAACCACAGCUGUGACACGGAGACACAGACAGUUCCAGCAGAACAGGAGGAUCACAAUGAAGAAGUCAGAGCAGAGUUUGGUGUUGAAAGAAGAAAACGUGUUCCCGUCUUAUAAACUACUUGUCAGUGUCAGGGAGUGCUGUAGCAGGGAAUACAGGUCUAGGACCAGUUGUUAGACUGCAGCUUGUCAGGGCCAGGGAGUGCUGUAGCAGCAAGAACAGGUCUAGGAACUGUUGUUAGAAUGCAGUGUGUGUACAGGUCAGCAGGAAGAACAAGUUCCAGGUCUGUUUUUAUGAUUGUAGCCAACCAGGGAGUGGGACAGCCUCUGACCUUGUUCCAAGCACCUGUAGUGAGGUUCACAACUCCUGGUAGAGUCACAGCACCAUCUACAGGCCAAACAGUGAAACAACAUCCUCUGUGACUAGUUUACAUGGCUGUGGUAUCAUCCACAGCAACACCCAUAGCACCAGUAUAGUAUCCAAACCCAUAGUAACACUAGUAAAUCCCUGACAAGUCUCACCUGUAGCAGCUAAACACAUAGUAGCAGCACCAGUCACCUCCAUGGCCAGACCAGCAAUGACAUCACAACUAUGGCAACACCAGUAACUCCCAGGUGAAGACCAAACAGAAGCAAAUGUUUUUUUGUUAAAUUAUAUAUAAAACAGGGACAGGGACGGACCCUUUUAGUUGCAAAAUGUUUUUCUACAGCAUUUAACGAAUGAAUUCACCCAUAGCUACUACUCCUCCAUGCUAACAGUGGGCUGAAGUAGGCCCUGAUAUGAGUGUCAAUGAAUUCACCCAUAGCUACUACUCCUCCAUGCUAACAGUGGGCUGAAGUAAGCCCUGAUAUGAGUGUCAAUGAAUUCACCCAUAGCUACUACUCCUCCAUGCUAACAGUGGGCUGAAGUAGGCCCUGAUAUGAGUGUCAAUGAAUUCACCCAUAGCUACUACUCCUCCAUGCUAACAGUGGGCUGAAGUAAGCCCUGAUAUGAGUGUCAAUGAAUUCACCCAUAGCUACUACUCCUCCAUGCUAACAGUGGGCUGAAGUAAGCCCUGAUAUGAGUGUCAAUGAAUUCACCCAUAGCUACUACUCCUCCAUGCUAACAGUGGGCUGAAGUAGGCCCUGAUAUGAGUGUCAAUGAAUUCACCCAUAGCUACUUCUCCUCCAUGCUAACAGUGGGCUGAAGUAGGCCCUGAUAUGAGUGUCAAUGAAAAGACCCAUAGCUACUACUCCUCCAUGCUAACAGUGGGCUGAAGUAAGCCCUGAUAUGAGUGUCAAUGAAUUCACCCAUAGCUACUACUCCUCCAUGCUAACAGUGGGCUGAAGUAGGCCCUGAUAUGAGUGUCAAUGAAUUCACCCAUAGCUACUUCUCCUCCAUGCUAACAGUGGGCUGAAGUAGGCCCUGAUAUGAGUGUCAAUGAAUUCACCCAUAGCUACUACUCCUCCAUGCUAACAGUGGGCUGAAGUAGGCCCUGAUAUGAGUGUCAAUGAAUUCACCCAUAGCUACUACUCCUCCAUGCUAACAGUGGGCUGAAGUAAACCCUGAUAUGAGUGUCAAUGAAUUCACCCAUAGCUACUACUCCUCCAUGCUAACAGUGGGCUGAAGUAAGCCCUGAUAUGAGUGUCAAUGAAUUCACCCAUAGCUACUACUCCUCCAUGCUAACAGUGGGCUGAAGUAGGCCCUGAUAUGAGUGUCAAUGAAUUCACCCAUAGCUACUUCUCCUCCAUGCUAACAGUGGGCUGAAGUAAGCCCUGAUAUGAGUGUCAAUGAAUUCACCCAUAGCUACUACUCCUCCAUGCUAACAGUGGGCUGAAGUAGGCCCUGAUAUGAGUGUCAAUGAAUUCACCCAUAGCUACUUCUCCUCCAUGCUAACAGUGGGCUGAAGUAGGCCCUGAUAUGAGUGUCAAUGAAUUCACCCAUAGCUACUACUCCUCCAUGCUAACAGUGGGCUGAAGUAGGCCCUGAUAUGAGUGUCAAUGAAUUCACCCAUAGCUACUUCUCCUCCAUGCUAACAGUGGGCUGAAGUAGGCCCUGAUAUGAGUGUCAAUGAAUUCACCCAUAGCUACUACUCCUCCAUGCUAACAGUGGGCUGAAGUAGGCCCUGAUAUGAGUGUCAAUGAAUUCACCCAUAGCUACUACUCCUCCAUGCUAACAGUGGGCUGAAGUAAGCCCUGAUAUGAGUGUCAAUGAAUUCACCCAUAGCUACUACUCCUCCAUGCUAACAGUGGGCUGAAGUAGGCCCUGAUAUGAGUGUCAAUGAAUUCACCCAUAGCUACUACUCCUCCAUGCUAACAGUGGGCUGAAGUAGGCCCUGGUAUGAGUGUCAAUGAAUUCACCCAUAGCUACUACUCCUCCAUGCUAACAGUGGGCUGAAGUAAGCCCUGAUAUGAGUGUCAAUGAAAAGACCCAUAGCUACUACUCCUCCAUGCUAACAGUGGGCUGAAGUAGGCCCUGGUAUGAGUGUCAAUGAAUUCACCCAUAGCUACUACUCCUCCAUGCUAACAGUGGGCUGAAGUAGGCCCUGAUAUGAGUGUCAAUGAAUUCACCCAUAGCUACUACUCCUCCAUGCUAACAGUGGGCUGAAGUAGGCCCUGGUAUGAGUGUCAAUGAAUUCACCCAUAGCUACUACUCCUCCAUGCUAACAGUGGGCUGAAGUAAGCCCUGAUAUGAGUGUCAAUGAAAAGACCCAUAGCUACUACUCCUCCAUGCUAACAGUGGGCUGAAGUAGGCCCUGGUAUGAGUGUCAAUGAAUUCACCCAUAGCUACUACUCCUCCAUGCUAACAGUGGGCUGAAGUAAGCCCUGAUACGAGUGUCAAUGAAUUCACCCAUAGCUACUACUCCUCCAUGCUAACAGUGGGCUGAAGUAAGCCCUGAUACGAGUGUCAAUGAAUUCACCCAUAGCUACUACUCCUCCAUGCUAACAAUGGGCUGAAGUAAGCCCUGAUAUGAGUGUCAAUGAAUUCACCCAUAGCUACUACUCCUCCAUGCUAACAGUGGGCUGAAGUAAGCCCUGAUACGAGUGUCAAUGAAUUCACCCAUAGCUACUACUCCUCCAUGCUAACAAUGGGCUGAAGUAAGCCCUGAUAUGAGUGUCAAUGAAUUCACCCAUAGCUACUACUCCUCCAUGCUAACAGUGGGCUGAAGUAGGCCCUGAUAUGAGUGUCAAUGAAAAGACCCAUUGAAACAUCUCUCUAAAACAAAGUUUACUUACAAAUACCCAAAAGCCAUUGACAGUAAGAAUGUACAGGGAUAAAUGCUAUUUGUAUGACCAUACAAACUGAUCAGAUAUACUUCAAGUUUCUUUCAUAAAGAACAGUCAUUCUAACAUGCAAACACAAAGCCUUGUACAGGAUGAAGAACUGAUUAUGUGAACACGUUUAGGAUUACAAAUGUGUUGGUUCACUAUUCUAACAUUUAAGCCUUGGAACAUUUGAUUACACAGUUAAGACUAUACAAGUUACAUGUUCAAUUUCUUGUUAGGUCUACAGCUUUGCCAUAAUCCACUGUGUCUGAUUUCCUCCACAGAACCAAUAAAUCUUCAUUUGUUUCAGCUGCAA